GUAGCUACAGGCUUCAAAUUUAGACCACAUGCAUAGGAUUGUGUACCGAAACAAACUUUGACCUUGAAAUUGGUCUAGUGACCUACUUUCACAUUUCUCAAGCUACAGCUUUCAAAUUUGGACCACAUGCAUGGACCACAUGCACAGUGUUGUGUACGGAAAUGAAAUUUGACCUUGAGCUAGUCAAUAAGUCUUGAAAUUUGGAACACUCAAAAAUGGCACAUUGGUGGGCGCAAAGAUCACUCUGUGAUCUCUUGUGUUUCAGAGAACAUGAUGAUUUGUUGGUGAAUACGGAUUGAAAAUUAUAAGUUUGAAAAUGAAAUAGAGUAGAACAGUGUUUGUGGUCUUAUAAACCAGUGAAACCUAAAAAAGGUUAUUCCAUAACUCCGCAUAAUGCUGGAGAGAUGGUAUGGUACCAUGAGAAUCCAAAACUAUGCACUAUUGUAUUCCAUCAUCUCAAGACGCUGGUAGAAAUGUUGAGGGCUAUAUUUAGACAUGACUUCAAGGAAGUCGUCAGCUAAGUAGACGCUCUUGGACAGAUGGCAGGUCUAUCCGAGGGGCGAUUUGAAAGUUUGAAGGAGGAGUUCUUAUAGCGAGGGUUGGUGACAAAUGAGUUGUUAAGUUACUCACGGUCUCCAACAUUUCAGUCUUAGUCUGGAAUCACAGGAAAUCUUUAUGGACUUGAUGCUGAAGUUUGAUCUCUGCUAUCAGGUGAAGAAUCCUACAAGUGCGCCAGGAACUUUGGGUUCAAAACAAAUUCUCCAGUUUCCAUGGUUCCUUACAUUUACUCCGCCUGAAGAUUUUGCCACAAGAUGGCCAGAAAUGGAUUAUUGUCAGACCUUGUAAUGGCACGGAUUGCAGCUAAGUUAGGGUUUUAGCAGAACAGAAUGGCAUUAGAGCUCAGACUGACCCAGGCUAAUAUAGAACAAAUCCAGAUCAGCCAUAAAUAUGAGGGAGCUCACAAAAUGAUACUUAGCACCCUGCUUAAGUACUGAUGAAGAGAAGAUUGAGAUUCUGAUGCAAGUUAUAUGAGAUAGCGACUGGAAUGAUCUGGCUGAUGAAUUAAUGGCUCAGUAUAUACAUAUCUGUAUGGAGAGGACCACACUGGUUGUGAUCAUGAAGACCUGUGCAGGGAUAAUGAUGUUCGGGAGGUAUCAGAUGAAGGCAGUAUUCAUGUAUCAAAAGCAGAUACCACCUCCUCAAGUACAAGACCUAGUUAUGGAAAACACAUCAGUCAGUAAGAUGAAUCAGAGUGAAAUAUAUAACAGGAUAGCAGCUGGGAGAUUUGCCCUUCUAAAUAGCAACAGCAGUGAUAGUGGUACAUACUGUCGACACAGGGAUCUGUGGGUAAAGAAUUCCAUGUGUUGGUAGAAACUUACAAUGAAACCACCAAUCACCAACACUCCCUAGACCAGAGCAAACUAUUGAGUGAGUUAGGCAGAAGCUGCAGUUCCAGGCAUAUUAUGCUGUAGAGUAGCUGCUCUCAUUGCCGAUGUCCAAAAUCUUGAAGUUCUAAUUAUAACAAAUAUUGAUGGGGGCCAAAAUUGAAGUGUACCCUGCUACCUUAUUAUUGGAAUAUCUAAAUCUGGUUGUUGUAGCCAAAGCUCAGGUUUCUUGCAGCAGCCCUUAUCCACCUGGUCUUCGUUUACAUUUGAACUACAUCCAGGAUUUGUCACAGCUCUAGGAGGAAGAAGGACUACAUAUCUGUGGAAGAAUCAGAAAACUACUCCAGACUUGUUGCCUUGACAGACGUUUAUUGGAAAUUUGAACAAUGACUGAAUACUUUGAUGAGUAGCAAAAAAAAAUUCAUUGUUGAUGAAAGUGUUUCUGUGGCAAGAUUGACCGGGCCAAUGUUAAUCUUUAGAAAUACAGAGCUGCCAAUGCUGUAAUUUUCUCCAUGUCCAAAAGUGCUUGUCUUCAGCAGCAAAGAAAGAGAAAUUGUACUGGGCCAACACCAUAAGGAGACAAUCUUGUUUGAUUUGUGUGUCUGUGGUUGAAAGGGACUACCUCGCAGAAGGAUGUUUUACAUUAAUAUUCUUAUAGUGGAUUUUGAUUACACUUGAAAGAAAUGUGUAUGUUCAAGAAACAUUGAUUAGUUAGAAAUGUUGUUUGAUUUCCUGUCUGUCAUAAAAGUAAAAAUUAGUUGUUUACAAACAACGGUGCACAAUAACUGACAUGAUAAACUGUAUUGAUAUAAGUAUUAUGAUUAAGUACAUUAUAUUAAAUUCAUAUAUUCUUUGGAAAUUAAAGGAUGUGUUAAUUUCUAAAAUUUCCAUUGUUCUGUUGCUGACUGUUAUAGGAAUGGUCUCCGUCCAUCCAUCCUUCCGUCUGUCCGUCCGUAACACUUUCCUGUCCACUCCAUACCUCCUUAACCCCUUGAAGGAUUUUCAUGAAACUUGGGUCAAAUGGUCACCUCAUCAAGAUGAUGUGCAGAACUCGAGUCAGCCAUGUUGGCUCAAGGUCAAGGUCAGAACUCUGGGUCAAAGGUUUGAGCCUUCCAUUUUGUGAUCACUCUGAAUCUCCUAAACCCCUUGAAGGAUUUUCAUUAAACUUGGGUCAAAUGAUUACCACAUUAAGAACUCAUGAUUCAGCUAUGUCAACUCAAGGUCAAGGUCACAACUCGAGGUCAAAGGUUUGAGCUGUGUAUCUCGUAAACCCCUUGAAGGAUUUUCAUCAAACUUUAAUAGAAGUCACCUUAUCAAGAUGAUGUGCAAACUCAUGAGACAGUCAUAUCAGUUCAAGGUCAAGGUCAAAGGUUUACCCUUUCACUAUCCAUAACAGUGACGGGAUGGGGGAUUUAGCUGUCUUUCAGACUGCCAUGUAAAGAUUUGAAAAUAUGAACAAUUGUAGGGUUAACGAACGU